UUUAUAUAUUUUUUUUUAUUUAAGCAAGGGAAUUAAUUCUUGCAGAAUUCUUUUUUAGUAGUUAUUGUUUAUUAAUCUCUCCUGAAAUAAAAAAAAACUUUUUUAGUUUUAAUCAAACCUUGAGCUUUAGACUGCUAUCAAAUCUUUAGAGGAUAUUGGCUUGUGAUUUAUAUACAAUCUUUUUCUGUUUGGGUUGUGUCAACAAGCUCAUUUCAAUCCUUAACUUGACAAAACUGAGUGGUCGCCUGUACUGUAACAUUGUGUCCCAUUGUACACUCACAUUCCCAUUUCUUUGGACUCUACAGUUCUUUAUAUUCAGAACAAGUCUAAUAAAAGUAUAUAUACUUUAUUUUUUUUACUUUUAAUUGACAAUUUUAUUUGUUGAACCAUAUACAUGAAUGUUUAGUAAGCAAUUAUUUCAUUAAACUUCCACUGAGACACUAGUCAAGAAAAGUUUAAUUCAUUUCUGUAAUGAUCUACACAUUGAUUUAGCGCCCAUUCCUUUCACUGAUUGCUUUCUUAAUUUUGUACUAGCAUCUACAUCUACUGCCUCUGUUUUGUAUGUCUUGAAGGUGUGUGUGUGUGUGUGUGUGUGUCUAAACUAAUAGAGGAAAUGUUUUGUAUGUCUUGAAGGUGUGUGUGUGUGUGUCUAAACUAAUAGAGGAAAUGUUUUGUAUGUCUUGAAGGUUUGUGUGUGUGUGUGUGUGUCUAAACUAAUAGAGGAAAUGUUUUGUAUGUCUUGAAGGUGUGUGUGUGUGUGUGU